GGAGGUGCCAUCUUUUUAUAAGGAUGAGAAGGCAAAUAGAAUAAAGCAUGCAUGGCUAUUAAAAUGUACUUUGAGGAUGAAAGCUGUCUUUCCUUUGGAUCUAACGUUUUUCCCUUUAGGUGAAUUGAAUAAGUACAAACCACCCUAGUAUAGCCCAGAAACUACAAUGAACACAGAGAAGAGUUGGAUCUGUAGAAACAGCAUUCUUGUCUCCUGCUUCAAAGAAACAGCAAUAGCCAUGUGGAUGUAUUCUGAAACGUGCUGCUGCACCCAUGGGAAAAAGAGCAAUUAAAAACUUCAUUUAAAAGGGGGACUUGGUGAAUUUGUAAGAACUCUCCAUUUUUCACAGAAUCUUGGACACUAAGAAGAUUUACUAUAGAAAACAAUUCUAAUGGAAGAAUAAUUGAAAAUAGAAAAAUAUUUCUCUGGUCUCUUUUGGACUUGUUUUGCAAAGUCACAGGUUAAUAAAAACAGUAAGGUGACAGAUA